rnacentral:lncRNA from 1 species
UCUCACUCAUAGUUGUACAAAUUACAGGGCUUUUUUUUAAUUGUCAUAAAACAUAUACAUUAUUCAUCUAUUCAGUUUCAUCUGAAGAGAAUCCAACAAAGAAGAAAUUUUAUUUUCCAAUAAAAUAUUAAAGCUGCUUUACCCCACAAGAGACAGAGCAGAAAUUCCAUCCAUGAUCUAUGUGAAGACACUGAAGAUCAGAGAAGUUGUGUGGAAUGCCUAAGGAAGGUGUAGUAACCAGCAGUAAAUGUUAAGAAAUCUAUGCGAAAACAAUACACAGUUCUGGCCAAAAGAAGUUAAAACAAAUGUGAAAAAUAAGCGACAUCCAGAAACUUCAGCAGCUCCCUUCUGUCCUAUGCCUCAAGGUACCAGAGAGGGAAAAAGACCCCCAGGAGAGGCUGUGAGGAAACCUGAACUGCAAACCCACCACGAUGUCUUCCUGGGAAAGGCAAGUUGGUAAAGAAAGAUGUGAACUCUAUUUCAGGGUAGUAUGUUUUUUUCAUUUGCUUCCAAGACUUUGAUGGAAUGACUUGAGAGGAAAAGUUCACAAUUACUAGAAAGAACCUAAAAGGACAUGAGAGAUGAAACCGUUGCAGUAUUUUUGAAAUAAAUGUUUUCCUGCAAGAGCAGAGUCAUGGGCGGGGUGUCUGUGUAAUAUCUACUCAACACAGCCG